rnacentral:rRNA from 1 species
CAAUAGCGUAUAUUAAAGUUGUUGCAGUUAAAAAGCUCGUAGUUGAAUUUCGGGUCCCCGCGCUCGGCGCUUCAUUGUGCCGUCGUGGUGUCCCUCCUCGCCGUAAGGCGUCCUUUACUGUGAAAAAAUUAGAGUGUUCAAAGCAGGCAAUCGCUUGAAUACAUUAGCAUGGAAUAAUAAGAUAGGAUCUUGUCUAUUUUGUUGGUUGCGGACAACGAUAAUGAUUAAUAGGGAUAGUUGGGGGUGUCCGUAUUGAGCUGUCAGAGGUGAAAUUCUUGGAUUUAUGAAAGACGAACUUCUGCGAAAGCAUUUGCCAAGGAUGUUUUCAUUAA